AGUGAACGCUGGCGGUAGGCCUAACACAUGCAAGUCGAACGGCAGCACAGUAAGAGCUUGCUCUUACGGGUGGCGAGUGGCGGACGGGUGAGGAAUACAUCGGAAUCUACCUUUUCGUGGGGGAUAACGUAGGGAAACUUACGCUAAUACCGCAUACGACCUACGGGUGAAAGCAGGGGAUCUUCGGACCUUGCGCGAUUGAAUGAGCCGAUGUCGGAUUAGCUAGUUGGCGGGGUAAAGGCCCACCAAGGCGACGAUCCGUAGCUGGUCCGAGAGGAUGAUCAGCCACACUGGAACUGAGACACGGUCCAGACUCCUACGGGAGGCAGCAGUGGGGAAUAUUGGACAAUGGGCGCAAGCCUGAUCCAGCCAUACCGCGUGGGUGAAGAAGGCCUUCGGGUUGUAAAGCCCUUUUGUUGGGAAAGAAAAGCAGCAGGUUAAUACCCCGCUGUUCUGACGGUACCCAAAGAAUAAGCACCGGCUAACUUCGUG
rnacentral:rRNA from 1 species